GACGGGGGGAUGCAAGUGUUAUCCGGAAUCACUGGGCGUAAAGCGUCUGCAGGUGGUUUCCUAAGUCCACUGUUAAACCUUGAGGCUCAACCUCAAAUCUGCAUUGGAAACUAGGAGACUUGAGUAUAGUAGGGGUAGAGGGAAUUUCCAGUGGAGCGGUGAAAUGCGCAGAUAUCAGGAGGAACACCGGUGGCGAAGGCGGCUUGCUGGGCCUUACCUGACGCUGAGGAGCGAAAGCGUGGGGAGCGAACAGG
rnacentral:rRNA from 1 species